UUGGAGGGCAAGUCUGGUGCCAGCAGCCGCGGUAAUUCCAGCUCCAAUAGCGUAUAUUAAAGUUGUUGCAGUUAAAAAGCUCGUAGUUGAAUUUCGGGAUCAAUUUAUUGGUCGUGCUAUUGUACGUACUGGUAUUAUUGAUUUCUACCUUCUGACGAACCAUGAUGUCAUUAAUUUGGUGUCAUGGGGAAUCAGGACUGUUACUUUGAAAAAAUUAGAGUGUUUAAAGCAGGCUCACGCUUGAAUACAUUAGCAUGGAAUAACGAAAUAGGACGUUUGAUUCUAUUUUGUUGGUUUCUAGGAUCGACGUAAUGAUUAAUAGGGAUAGUUGGGGGCAUUAGUAUUCAAUUGUCAGAGGUGAAAUUCUUGGAUUUAUUGAAGACUAACUACUGCGAAAGCAUUUGCCAAGGAUGUUUUCAUUAAUCAAGAACGAAAGUUAGGGGAUCGAAGACGAUCAGAUACCGUCGUAGUCUUAACCAUAAACUAUGCCGACUAGGGAUCGGAUGAUGUUAAUUUUUUAAUGACUCAUUCGGCGCCUUACGGGAAAC
rnacentral:rRNA from 1 species